rnacentral:rRNA from 1 species
AGCGGCGGACGGGUGAGUAACACGUGGGUAACCUGCCCAGGAGACUGGGAUAACACCUGGAAACAGAUGCUAAUACCGGAUAACAACACUAGACGCAUGUCUAGAGUUUGAAAGAUGGUUCUGCUAUCACUCUUGGAUGGACCUGCGGUGCAUUAGCUAGUUGGUAAGGUAACGGCUUACCAAGGCAAUGAUGCAUAGCCGAGUUGAGAGACUGAUCGGCCACAUUGGGACUGAGACACGGCCCAAACUCCUACGGGAGGCAGCAGUAGGGAAUCUUCCACAAUGGACGAAAGUCUGAUGGAGCAACGCCGCGUGAGUGAAGAAGGGUUUCGGCUCGUAAAGCUCUGUUGGUAGUGAAGAAAGAUAGAGGUAGUAACUGGCCUUUAUUUGACGGUAAUCAACCAGAAAGUCACGGCUAACUACGUGCCAGCAGCCGCGGUAAUACGUAGGUGGCAAGCGUUGUCCGGAUUUAUUGGGCGUAAAGCGAGCGCAGGCGGAAAAAUAAGUCUAAUGUGAAAGCCCUCGGCUUAACCGAGGAACUGCAUCGGAAACUGUUUUUCUUGAGUGCAGAAGAGGAGAGUGGAACUCCAUGUGUAGCGGUGGAAUGCGUAGAUAUAUGGAAGAACACCAGUGGCGGAGGCGGCUCUCUGGUCUGCAACUGACGCUGAGGCUCGAAAGCAUGGGUAGCGAACAGGAUUAGAUACCCUGGUAGUCAUGCCGUAAACGAUGAGUGCUAAGUGU